CAGGCCUAACACAUGCAAGUCGAGCGGUAGCACAGAGAGCUUGCUCUCGGGUGACGAGCGGCGGACGGGUGAGUAAUGUCUGGGAAACUGCCUGAUGGAGGGGGAUAACUACUGGAAACGGUAGCUAAUACCGCAUAACGUCGCAAGACCAAAGUGGGGGACCUUCGGGCCUCAUGCCAUCAGAUGUGCCCAGAUGGGAUUAGCUAGUAGGUGGGGUAACGGCUCACCUAGGCGACGAUCCCUAGCUGGUCUGAGAGGAUGACCAGCCACACUGGAACUGAGACACGGUCCAGACUCCUACGGGAGGCAGCAGUGGGGAAUAUUGCACAAUGGGCGCAAGCCUGAUGCAGCCAUGCCGCGUGUGUGAAGAAGGCCUUCGGGUUGUAAAGCACUUUCAGCGGGGAGGAAGGCGGUGAGGUUAAUAACCUCAUCGAUUGACGUUACCCGCAGAAGAAGCACCGGCUAACUCCGUGCCAGCAGCCGCGGUAAUACGGAGGGUGCAAGCGUUAAUCGGAAUUACUGGGCGUAAAGCGCACGCAGGCGGUCUGUCAAGUCGGAUGUGAAAUCCCCGGGCUCAACCUGGGAACUGCAUUCGAAACUGGCAGGCUAGAGUCUUGUAGAGGGGGGUAGAAUUCCAGGUGUAGCGGUGAAAUGCGUAGAGAUCUGGAGGAAUACCGGUGGCGAAGGCGGCCCCCUGGACAAAGACUGACGCUCAGGUGCGAAAGCGUGGGGAGCAAACAGGAUUAGAUACCCUGGUAGUCCACGCCGUAAACGAUGUCGAUUUGGAGGUUGUGCCCUUGAGGCGUGGCUUCCGGAGCUAACGCGUUAAAUCGACCGCCUGGGGAGUACGGCCGCAAGGUUAAAACUCAAAUGAAUUGACGGGGGCCCGCACAAGCGGUGGAGCAUGUGGUUUAAUUCGAUGCAACGCGAAGAACCUUACCUGGUCUUGACAUCCACAGAACUUUCCAGAGAUGGAUUGGUGCCUUCGGGAACUGUGAGACAGGUGCUGCAUGGCUGUCGUCAGCUCGUGUUGUGAAAUGUUGGGUUAAGUCCCGCAACGAGCGCAACCCUUAUCCUUUGUUGCCAGCGGUUAGGCCGGGAACUCAAAGGAGACUGCCAGUGAUAAACUGGAGGAAGGUGGGGAUGACGUCAAGUCAUCAUGGCCCUUACGACCAGGGCUACACACGUGCUACAAUGGCAUAUACAAAGAGAAGCGACCUCGCGAGAGCAAGCGGACCUCAUAAAGUAUGUCGUAGUCCGGAUUGGAGUCUGCAACUCGACUCCAUGAAGUCGGAAUCGCUAGUAAUCGUAGAUCAGAAUGCUACGGUGAAUACGUUCCCGGGCCUUGUACACACCGCCCGUCACACCAUGGGAGUGGGUUGCAAAAGAAGUAGGUAGCUUAACCUUCGGGAGGGCGCUUACCACUUUGUGAUUCAUGACUGGGGUGAAA
rnacentral:rRNA from 1 species